GAGAAAGGGCUUUCUUUAUAGAUGAAGACGUUGAGUAAGGGGGGCGGAGCUUGAAGAGCGAAGCGAGCUGCGCUAGCCUAUUACGUUUUUCAGCAGCAAGCUACGGUCUAACGCUUGCCUCCGGUGGCUAACCGGGCGAAAACUCCAAAACUAGGGUUCCAAACCUUUCUCUAAUAAUCAGGUAAGCUUUCAAGCCCCUUGACUUUCUAUUAGAUUAGUUUAGUCAAGGGCGCUGUGAACUGUAAUUGUGAAAAGGUUGGAAGAUCUGGCCAAAGAAGGUGAUAGCCCUGUAGAUUCGUUCCCAUGGUUCGAUCCUUCCCAGUAAAACGCGGCGUGUUCGAAUUCUGAUCGCUUUUACGCGAGAAAGGGGGACCACCUCUAAGCCUAAGUAUUCCUCAAUGACCGAUAGCGUACAAGUACCGUGAGGGAAAGGUGAAAAGAACCCUAGUUAGGGAGUUCAAUAGAGAACCAGAGAUCCGAUGCGAACAAUCAGUCGAAGGAGCGGAGCUUAGAGCCUUGAUUUUCUAUAUUAGUCAAACGCACUCACUCUAACAGCGUACCUUUUGCACGAUGGGUCAGCGAGGAAAUGGGAAGAGCGGCUUAAGCCAUUAGGUGUAGGCGCUUUCCAGAGGUGGAAUCUUCUAGUUCUUCCUAUUUGACCCGAAACCGACCGAUCUAGCCAUGAGCAGGUUGAAGAGAGCUCUAACAGGCCUUGGAGGACCGAACCCACGUAUGUGGCAAAAUACGGGGAUGACUUGUGGCUAGGGGUGAAAGGCCAACCAAGAUCGGAUAUAGCUGGUUUUCCGCGAAAUCUAUUUCAGUAGAGCGUAUGAUGUCGAUGGCCCGAGGUAGAGCACUCAAUGGGCUAGGGUGGCCCCAUUUCGCCUUACCAACCCCAAGGAAACUCCGAAUACAGGCCUAGAUCGUUUGUACAGACAGACUUUUUGGGUGCUAAGAUCCAAAGUCGAGAGGGAAACAGCCCAGAUCGUACGCUAAGGUCCCUAAGCAAUCACUUAGUGGAAAAGGAAGUGAUCGAGCGAUGACAACCAGGAGGUGGGCUUGGAAGCAGCCAUCCUUUGAAGAAAGCGUAAUAGCUCACUGGUCUAGCUCCAUGGCACCGAAAAUGUAUCAGGGCUCAAGUGAUUCACCGAAGCGACGAGACCUUGAAAGCAGUUUUUUCAAGUGUCAGUAGCGAAACGUUCUGUCAAUCGGGGAAGGUUUUUAGUGACAAGACCUGGAGAUAUUAGAAGUGAGAAUGCUGACAUGAGUAACGAUAAAUCUAACUUGUUUCGACCUGAGAUAAUAAGCUCAUGAGCUUGGUCUUACUUCACUGUCGAGAAACGAAAGAAGACUUCCAUCUCCAAGUUUAACUCAGACGUAGCUCCCUUCUUUUUGGGUGUGAAGCAGUGUCAAACCAAAAUACCCAACAAGCAUUAGCUCUCCCUGAAAAGGAGGUGAUCCAGCCGCACCUUCCAAUACGGCUACCCUUCAUCAAGAAAGCUUGCAUAAGAGAUCCUUCUUAUUGCUCUAUCUAGAAUGAAAAUCUAAAGAUAAAAAUCAAUGUUAGGCUGUGGGGCCACAAGGGCUGGGACCCCUAAGGAGAGGUCAACGAAUGCUCUUCGAAUUGGUCUAUAGCCGAUGAACCGACCAGGACACCCCCCCUUUCUGCCAUAUCUCUCACUGCCUCAUACUAGCUAUCCCUAGCCGAAAAAAGUAUGAAUAAAGUAGUUGAGUGCCUUUCCUUCCCCUAUAUGUGUUUGCCACCACCCGACUUAAUGGUAAGAAAGCCCGCCUCCUAAGAAUGAAGGAAUGGAUUAAUCACCUUUGGGGCUGGUGGAUGGAUCACCUUUCCUUAACAUAGAUGGUGGAUGGGCUUCACUUAACAAAGAAGAGAAUGGGCCAUAUGGGUGCCUACAUUGUUAGUCUAUUUGAUUUAAGGGAAGAGAUAUUUAUUGAAUAGAAAGAAUGAAACCUGUACCAUCUUAUCGCCAACCGUGCUUCCUACCAACUCCGCCUAUCCCAGACAGUCGGUCCUAUUGAUUUAGCCGCACCUGAACCCGCAACAACUACCUCUAGUCCGAAAGCAACUUACUUUUCUGAUGAAUCUUAGCUUGCUUUUUGAAUACGGUCAAAGUGGGACAUCCCUUGUUCUCGCAUUGCCUUCUUUCCUAGGGAAUUCAAUCACAUCGGAUCAGUGAGCUAAAGUCAGUCCCUCAACAGCUAAAGUAACUGCUUGAUCUGUCACCCUCCGUGAUUCAAGCCUGUCACCAAGCCUUAAGUCAAAAGCUCUGGUUUCAAGCCCAGGGCACCAAGUGAAUCAAAGCAAGAGCUUACUCAGA
rnacentral:lncRNA from 1 species